rnacentral:rRNA from 1 species
UAAUACGUAGGUGGCGAGCGUUGUCCGGAUUUAUUGGGCGUAAAGCGCGCGCAGGUGGUCCGUUAAGUCCUGUGUGAAAUCUCCCGGCUCACCCGGGAGGGGGCGCGGGAUACGGGGGGACUGGAGGCAGGCAGAGGCCGGUGGAAUUCCCGGUGUAGUGGUGAAAUGCGUAGAGAUCGGGAGGAACACCAGUGGCGAAAGCGGCCGGCUGGG